rnacentral:tRNA from 1 species
GGUCCCAUCGUCCAGCGGUCUAGGACAUCGCCCUUUCAAGGCGGCGACACGGGUUCGAACCCCGUUGGGACCGCCA